rnacentral:ncRNA from 1 species
GGGGAUGACGUCAAGUCCGCAUGGCCCUUAUGGGCUGGGCCACACACGUGCUACAAUGGCAAUGACAAUGGGAAGCAAGGCUGUAAGGCGGAGCGAAUCCGGAAAGAUUGCCUCAGUUCGGAUUGUUCUCUGCAACUCGGGAACAUGAAGUUGAAAUCGCUAGUAAUCGCGAAUCAGCAUGUCGCAGUGAAUAUGUACCCGGGCCCUGUACACACCGCCCGUCACACCCUGGGAAUUGGUUUCGCCCGAAGCAUCGGACCAAUGAUCACCCAUGACUUCUGUGUACCACUAGUGCCACAAAGGCCUUUGGUGGUCUUAUUGGCGCAUACCACGGUGG